rnacentral:rRNA from 1 species
AGCGAACAGGAUUAGAUACCCUGGUAGUCCACGCCGUAAACGAUGAUCACUCGCUGUUGGCAAUAUAGAGUCAGCGGCUGAGCGAAAGCAUUAAGUGAUCCACCUGGGGAGUACGUCGGCAACGAUGAAACUCAAAGGAAUUGACGGGGGCCCGCACAAGCGGUGGAACAUGUGGUUUAAUUCGAUGAUACGCGAGGAACCUUACCUGGGCUUAAAUGUAGCCGGACGAUUCCGGAAACGGGAUUUCCUUAACGGCUGGUUACAAGGUGCUGCAUGGCUGUCGUCAGCUCGUGCCGUGAGGUGUCGGGUUAAGUCCCAUAACGAGCGCAACCCUUUAUUCUUAGUUGCCAGCGGGUAGAGCCGGGGACUCUAAGGAGACUGCCACCGUAAGGUGUGAGGAAGGUGGGGAUGACGUCAAGUCAGCACGGCCCUUACGUCCAGGGCUACACACGUGUUACAAUGGCCGGUACAGAAGGCAGCAAACUUGAGAGAGGGCGCGAAUCCAUGAAAGCCGGUCUCAGUUCGGAUUGGAGUCUGCAACCCGACUUCAUGAAGUUGGAAUCGCUAGUAAUCGCGCAUCAGCAAUGGCGCGGUGAAUACGUUCCCGGGCGUUGACACACCGCCCGUCAAGC